rnacentral:rRNA from 1 species
AGAACGAACGCUGGCGGCAUGCCUAACACAUGCAAGUCGAACGCUUCCGGGGCUUCGGUCGCGGAGGAGUGGCGCACGGGUGAGUAGCGCGUGGGAACCUGCCCUGUUGUGGGGGAUAACCGAGGGAAACUUCGGCUAAUACCGCAUACGCCCCGGGACUUGGUCUUCGGAUUAGGUCUGGGGGGGAAAGAUUUAUCGCUCGAGGAGGGGCCCGCGUCGGAUUAGCUCGUUGGUGGGGUAACGGCCUACCAAGGCUAUGAUCCGUAGCUGGUCUGAGAGGAUGAUCAGCCACACUGGGACUGAGACACGGCCCAGACUCCUACGGGAGGCAGCAGUGGGGAAUAUUGGACAAUGGGCGCAAGCCUGAUCCAGCAAUGCCGCGUGAGUGAUGAAGGCCUUAGGGUUGUAAAGCUCUUUCGCACGCGACGAUGAUGACGGUAGCGUGAGAAGAAGCCCGGCUAACUUCGCGCCAGCAGCCGCGGU